GCGCGUGAGGGUGCUCUGGCUGCGACCGACACCUGCCACCCCACCGAUGGCCCGGGUCACUGCGGCUCAUCUGGCGGGCCCGGCAGGUGUCCCCUUCCUCCCUGUCCACUUCCUGUGCGUCCCUCCCGCUGGCGCUGGCUCGGUUGAAGGGGACGCCCCCCAGAGCAGCACCGCUUCCUCCAGCAGGGUGUACGAGUAGCUGUGCUCCCCUGGUAGAACCUCCACACAAGCUCCCAGGGGCCAGGCAGCGGAAACGCCUGUUCUGCUGCGUGUAGACACCUAUGUAAGGGGAAUAU
rnacentral:snRNA from 1 species